rnacentral:rRNA from 1 species
CAAUAGCGUAUAUUAAAGUUGUUGCGGUAAAAAAGCUCGUAGUUGGAUUUCUACCGAAGAUAGCCGGUCGGGUCUUCGACCUUGUAUCUGGUUUUGUCUUUGGUAUCCUCAUAGGGAACGUUUCUGCGCUUUAUUGCGUGGUGCGGUAUCUAUGACUUUUACUUUGAGGAAAUUUGAGUGUUCACGGCAGGCAAACGCCUUGAAUAUAUUAGCAUGGAAUAAUAACAUAGGAUCUUCGUCCUAUUUUGUUGGUUUCUAGGGCUAAGAUAAUGAUUAAUAGGGAUAAUUGGGGGCAUCUGUAUCAACGCGUCAGAGGUGGAAUUCUUGGAUUGCGUUGCGACAAACUACUGCGAAAGCAUUUGCCAAGGAUGUUUUCAUUGA